GGCCGGCCAUACAAUGGCCCAAGCCCAUGGAUUCUAAUUAAUUUCCAUGUGAUAAUUAAAUAAAAGGGGUCAUUUAGUUGUCUUGAAACAUAUAGAAGUUUCAAGAACAUUAGAAGAGGAGAAAAACAAAACAAAUGAAGAGCAAAGGAGACAUGGCAUACGGCCAUGCUCUCCAAUUUUUGUCCCUUUGAAAUCUUCUCCCAAAAAUUAUUUUCUUGUGGUAUUCCUACUAAUUCAAGGGUCCUUUACAACUUGGUGUAAUUAUUUUGGAAGAAAGAACACUUGUUUCUUCAAGUUGACAACUUGGUCAAGUGAAGAAGAUUGUAGAAAAAGAUUUUGGCGAACUUGAAACUUGAUUUUGGAGACGUGUAUGAAGCGGAAAAGGUCAGCAGACAGGUGGACUUGAUCCUUAGGAGCUCUACCAGCGGUACUCUACAGUGCUCCAGUUGUUCCGGAGCCUCACUUCCGCGGUACUAUUUUGUGUAUGUAUAUUCGGGCACAGCAGUACCCGGCCCUUUCUAUGUAUAA